AGAGUUUGAUCCUGGCUCAGAUUGAACGCUGGCGGAAUGCUUUACACAUGCAAGUCGAGCGGCAGCGCGGGGGCAACCCUGGCGGCGAGCGGCGAACGGGUGAGUAACACAUCGGAACGUACCCUAUCGUGGGGGAUAACGAAUCGAAAGAUUCGCUAAUACCGCAUACGACCUGAGGGUGAAAGCGGGGGAUCGCAAGACCUCGCGCGACAGGAGCGGCCGAUGUCGGAUUAGCUAGUUGGUGAGGUAAAGGCUCACCAAGGCGACGAUCCGUAGCUGGUCUGAGAGGACGACCAGCCACACUGGGACUGAGACACGGCCCAGACUCCUACGGGAGGCAGCAGUGGGGAAUUUUGGACAAUGGGGGAAACCCUGAUCCAGCCAUUCCGCGUGAGUGAAGAAGGCCUUCGGGUUGUAAAGCUCUUUCGGCAGGAACGAAAAGGUGCGGGCUAAUAUCCUGUAUCAAUGACGGUACCUGAAGAAGAAGCACCGGCUAACUACGUGCCAGCAGCCGCGGUAAUACGUAGGGUGCGAGCGUUAAUCGGAAUUACUGGGCGUAAAGCGUGCGCAGGCGGUUUUGUAAGACAGAUGUGAAAUCCCCGGGCUUAACCUGGGAACUGCGUUUGUGACUGCAAGACUUGAGUGCGGCAGAGGGGGGUGGAAUUCCACGUGUAGCAGUGAAAUGCGUAGAGAUGUGGAGGAACACCGAUGGCGAAGGCAGCCCCCUGGGUCGACACUGACGCUCAUGCACGAAAGCGUGGGUAGCAAACAGGAUUAGAUACCCUGGUAGUCCACGCCCUAAACGAUGCCAACUAGGUGUUGGGGAAGGAGACUUCCUUAGUACCGUAGCUAACGCGUGAAGUUGGCCGCCUGGGGAGUACGGUCGCAAGAUUAAAACUCAAA
rnacentral:rRNA from 1 species